rnacentral:rRNA from 1 species
GACGAACGCUGGCGGCGUGCUUAACACAUGCAAGUCGAACGGAAAGGCCCUGCUUGCAGGGUACUCGAGUGGCGAACGGGUGAGUAACACGUGGGUGAUCUGCCCUGCACUUCGGGAUAAGCUUGGGAAACUGGGUCUAAUACCGGAUAGGAUCCAUCUUUAGUGUGGUGGUUGGAAAGUUUUUUCGGUGUAGGAUGAGCUCGCGGCCUAUCAGCUUGUUGGUGGGGUAAUGGCCUACCAAGGCGGCGACGGGUAGCCGGCCUGAGAGGGUGUACGGCCACAUUGGGACUGAGAUACGGCCCAGACUCCUACGGGAGGCAGCAGUGGGGAAUAUUGCACAAUGGGCGCAAGCCUGAUGCAGCGACGCCGCGUGGGGGAUGAAGGCCUUCGGGUUGUAAACUCCUUUCGCUAGGGACGAAGCUUUGUUGUGACGGUACCUAGAUAAGAAGCACCGGCUAACUACGUG